rnacentral:lncRNA from 1 species
UUUCCUAUAGCGAUUCUUAAUAUCUCCAGAGAGGAUUAUGCCCCCAUUGAAGACAUGAACCUAUCAAAGGAAUAUGAAUGGUGUCAGGCCAUAUGUGACGAUUUGAAGUCCAAGGCAGAAAAGUUCAGGACUACCCGAUUAGGAAAAUCGUCGACAUCCACUAUCUAAGGAUGCAUUCUUUUCGUGUUGAUCAUAUUUUUUAUGUUUUACUAUUGUUUUUUGUUUGUAUCAUUUUUUACUCUUAUGGUGUCAAAUAAGUUUUUUCGAUGGCGAUCAUGAGUGUUCAAAAUAUUUUAUCCCGGUUUACUAUCUCGACAAUCUGGAUGCGGUAUUGCACGACCAUAUGGAACACCUCGCUGGAGCGUGUUAACCAGGAGUCUAAUUAAAAGGAUUGAAGAUCUCGACAUAAAGUCGAUUAGUGCCGGCAAAUCAACCUACAGGAACCUUCAUGUAAGUGUAGUCUGAUUUUUUAUAGUCUCAGUAAUAGUUAGUAGUGGCAGUGAUACUCACUACCUAGAUUCAGUAAUAGUUUUUGGUGGUAUUCUGAACAAUUAUGUAUCAAGUUUUAUAGUUUUAAUAAUAGUUAAUAGUGGCUGUAAUACUCCCUACCUAGUCUCAGUAAUAGCUAGCAGUAGUGAUCUGAAUAAUUGUGUUUCAAGUUUUAUAGUCUCAGUAAUAGUUAGCCAUGACAGUAACACUUGCUACCUAGUCUUAUAAAAUAUUUCUACUGUGGUAGUAAUACUCACUACUUACUCUCAGUAAUAGUUAAUAUUAUUCCAAAUAAUUAUGCAUUAAGUUUUUAUAGUCUCAGUAAUAGUUAGUAGUGGCAGUAAUACUCACUACCUACUCUCAGUAAUAGUUAGUAGUGGUGCUCUGACUAAUUAUAUAUCUAGUUUUAUAGUCUCAAUAAUAGUUAGCAGUGUAGUAAUACUUACUACCUAGUCUUAGUAAUAUUUUAGUAGUGACAGUAAUACUCACUACCUACUCUCAAUAUUAGUUAGUAGUGGUAUUUUGAACAGCUAUGCAUCAAGUUUCAUAGUAUGAGUAAUAGUCAGUAGUGGCAGUAAUUGUAUUUUUUCAGUUUUUCACGAUUGCUUUUUUCAUAGUGUGUUUUUAUACAAGCUUUUCUUAUAUUGUUUAUUUCGUGCAAAUUAAUAGUUUAGGGAUGUUGAGAAGACAAUAUACUCUACCAGCCGUGAUCCUGGGCUUAUUGAUGUUAGGGCACCACAACCUGCUAUUGUAUGUGUUGCGCGUGGUGUUUUGACCAGAUUUAUUAGAGGAACUCGUGGUAAAAUUUGUCGAAAGGCUGCUACAAAUAGGGGCAUGAGACCAACAACGACUACAGAUAGAAGGCAACCGUCUAGAUUAUCUGAUACAGACCGAGCCAAAAAUACCACUCACCUAGGUCGGAGGCACAAACGCCACCUCCACAAGAAGUAGAUCAGUCGCCACCCCCAGAAGGUUGCGAACCACUGAAGGAUGCACAAACCUCCAGCAAUAUGACAGUGCUCCUGCAUCACUAGAGGAGGAAGCUCAAACGGAACAGGCUACCACAGGUGAACCUAUUGAAUUUGUUGUAGCAGAGCCACUACCAGAACACGUCGUACAGACAGGAGGAGGCAUUGAUGUCCAACAACAUGAAAGUGUAUAGGCACCAACAAAGGAGGGACCUCCCAUGGAUCAGGGUACCAUAGAUGUUUUUGUUGAGUUGACUGAAC